rnacentral:rRNA from 1 species
CUGGCCUUGACAUCCAGAGAACUUUCCAGAGAUGGAUUGGUGCCUUCGGGAACUCUGAGACAGGUGCUGCAUGGCCGUCGUCAGCUCGUGUCGUGAGAUGUUGGGUUAAGUCCCGUAACGAGCGCAACCCCUAUCCCUGGUUGCUAGCAGGUAAUGCUGAGAACUCCAGGGAGACUGCCGGUGACAAACCGGAGGAAGGUGGGGAUGACGUCAGGUCAUCAUGGCCCUUACGGCCAGGGCUACACACGUGCUACAAUGGCGCGUACAGAGGGCUGCCAACUCGCGAGAGUGAGCCAAUCCCUUAAAACGCGUCGUAGUCCGGAUCGGAGUCUGCAACUCGACUCCGUGAAGUCGGAAUCGCUAGUAAUCGCGAAUCAGAAUGUCGCGGUGAAUACGCUCCC